AAUGUAACUAGAGGCCUUGCAGGUAUGGCUGCUGCCUCAAAUGUGUGUUAUUACAUUAGGUAGCAGAGAGAAGCUAUGUCUACAUACAAUGUUCUGACCUACGAAUAUCUGAGUGAUUAAUAGCACAAU